AUAAUAGAGGUUUCAUUCAUAUCUUAUUAUGGAUGGGAUAAAUAACAAAAUGGAUAAAUAAAAAAGACAAUAAUAUAGGGAUUCAUUGAUAUUCUAAAAUUGGAUGGAACGAUACUUAAUUUAGGGUGAGCCAAUAGGAUGAACUGAAAAAGUUAUGUAUCAUUAACUAUGUAAGAUGUAAAGCAACAUCAAUUAGAUAUUCGACUACGAAAAAGAAAAAGUAGGAUCAAAUAAAAUAAAAAGAAAUGGACCGAAUUUUUUUAUAAUGUAUCUCAGAUAAAUUUUGACUAUUCUCACCUCUGAACUUCCCUAGAUUAAACUUUUUGGCCUUUCAACCAAGUAAUUUUACCAUUUGAAUAUUGUUGAAAUAUUAACAUUCUUUUUGGAGCGCAGAAAAAAUCGAAACAAAAUGGAAUCAUUCAUUUUCAGACUAACUUUCUAUACCUAGAAUAUACAUCCAUUCAUUCUUUAGCUAGAAAGAGUAUAUCUCCGUACGCCUAGAAAAAUUAUGUAUGAUGAUCAAGACCACUAAAAAUAUGUAUCUAUUCCCAAAU
rnacentral:lncRNA from 1 species